UCGAGGGGCAGCGAGAUCAGUGCUUGCACUGAUUGUCGGCGACCGGCGCACGGGUGCGUAACGCGUAUGCAACCUACCCAUUACAGGGGGAUAACACUGAGAAAUCGGUACUAAUACUCCAUAACAUCCAGGGAGGCAUCUUCUUGGGUUGAAAACUCCGGUGGUAAUGGAUGGGCAUGCGUUGUAUUAGUUAGUUGGUGGGGUAACGGCUCACCAAGACAACGAUACAUAGGGGGACUGAGAGGUUAACCCCCCACAUUGGUACUGAGACACGGACCAAACUCCUACGGGAGGCAGCAGUGAGGAAUAUUGGUCAAUGGACGCAAGUCUGAACCAGCCAUGCCGCGUGCAGGAAGACGGCUCUAUGAGUUGUAAACUGCUUUUGUACGAGGGUAAACGCAGAUACGCGUAUCUGUCUGAAAGUAUCGUACGAAUAAGGAUCGGCUAACUCCGUGCCAGCAGCCGCGGUAAUACGGAGGAUUCAAGCGUUAUCCGGAUUUAUUGGGUUUAAAGGGUGCGUAGGCGGUCGGAUAAGUUAGAGGUGAAAUCCCGGGGCUCAACUUCGGAAUUGCCUCUGAUACUGUUCGGCUAGAGAGUAGUUGCGGUAGGCGGAAUGUAUGGUGUAGCGGUGAAAUGCUUAGAGAUCAUACAGAACACCGAUUGCGAAGGCAGCUUACCAAGCUACUUCUGACGUUGAGGCACGAAAGCGUGGGGAGCAAACAGGAUUAGAUACCCUGGUAGUCCACACAGUAAACGAUGAAUACUCGCUGUUUGCGAUAUACAGUAAGUGGCCAAGCGAAAGCAUUAAG
rnacentral:rRNA from 1 species